rnacentral:rRNA from 1 species
CCUACGGGAGGCAGCAGUAAGGGAUAUUGCACAAUGGGCGGAAGCCUGAUGCAGCGACGCCGCGUGGGCGAAGAAGGUUUUCGGAUCGUAAAGUCCUUUUCUAGGUGACGAGGUAGGACGGUAGCCUAGGAAUAAGUGUCGGCUAACUACGUGCCAGCAGCCGCGGUAAAACGUAGGACGCGAGCGUUAUCCGGAGUUACUGGGCGUAAAGCGCGCGCAGGCGGUGUCAUAAGUUACCCAUGAAAGGUACUGGCUAAACUGGUGUAAGUUGGGUGAAACUGUGGUACUAGAGAGGAAUAGAGGGAAGCGGAAUUCCGGGUGUAGUGGUGAAAUGCGUAGAUAUCCGGAGGAAUACCGGUGGCGAAGGCGGCUUCCUGGAUUUCAACUGACGCUGAGGCGCGAAAGCGUGGGUAGCGAACGGGAUUAGAAACCCCGGUAGUCCACGCCGUAAACGAUGCACAUUAGAUGUUCGGUCAUGUUAAGUGAUUGAGUGUUGCAGCAAACGCGAUAAAUGUGCCGCCUGGGGAGUACGGUCGCAAGGCUAAACUCAAAGGAAUUGACGG